UAAUUUAUAUUUUAAUUAAGAUUAUUAGAAAUUUAUUUUUUAGUUAUGAUUGGGGUGAUUUUUAAAGAUUAUUAAUCUUUAAAAUUUUUUAAUAAAAAAGUUCCAUUAGUAGUGAUUUUUUGAUAAAAAUACUCUAGGGAUAACAGCGUUAUUAUUUUGGAUAGUUCAUAUAGAUAAAAUAGUUUGCGACCUCGAUGUUGGAUUAGGAUUCUUUUAUGAUGAAGAAGUUAUAAGGGAGAAGUUUGCUCAACUUUUAAAGUCCUACUUGAUCUGAGUUCAGACCGGG
rnacentral:rRNA from 1 species